GUGAGCGGCAGACUUUUCUGAUCUUCUCCGAUCCUGAAAUAUAACGGGAAUAACAUCCACAAAAGACAACGAUAUUCCCAGAUCAUAUAAGGAACUGGAUUGAAUCAAGAUGCUGCUGAUGAUUGAAGCUCUUCUCCUCAUUUUUGCUGCUCUGGAAAAGAAUUAAAGUGCUGAAUGAACAGAGGAUGGUGAACUCUGGCCGUUAACAAGCAGAAUCACUGAGGAAAAACACUGCUGUUCACACAAACAUGGUUUGUCAGAGGUCACCACAGCGGAAUCACCACCAGCCUAUUCAGCAUAUGUUUUACGCAGCGGAUGCCCUGCCAGCUGCAACUCAUUACUGGGAAACAUGCCACUCGUACACUAUUCAACUCACUAUUCAAUUCACUUACAGUGCAUGUCUUGGACUGUGUGGGGAAACCUGAGCACCCAGGGAAAACAUGCAAACUCCACACAGAAAUGCCAACUGGCCCAAUCGGGACUCGAACAAGCUAUCUUC